rnacentral:tRNA from 1 species
GGAGGGAUGCCGGAGCGGCUAAACGGCCCUGACUCGAAAUCAGUGGAAGGCUAACGCCUUACGGGGGUUCGAAUCCCUCUCCCUCCGCCA